rnacentral:rRNA from 1 species
AGAGUUUGAUCCUGGCUCAGGAUGAACGCUAGCGGCAGGCCUAAUACAUGCAAGUCGAACGGGCUGGAGUAGCAAUACUCCAGUUAGUGGCGCACGGGUGCGUAACGCGUAUGCAACCUACCUUUUAUUGGGGGAUAGCCCGAAGAAAUUCGGAUUAAUACCGCAUAAUAUCAUUUGAGGGCAUCUGAGGAUGAUGAAAGCUACGGCGAUAAAAGAUGGGCAUGCGUGUCAUUAGCUAGUUGGUUGAGGUAACGGCUCACCAAGGCGACGAUGACUAGGGGUUCUGAGAGGAUGAUCCCCCACACUGGUACUGAGAUACGGACCAGACUCCUACGGGAGGCAGCAGUAGGGAAUAUUGGGCAAUGGAGGCAACUCUGACCCAGCCAUGCCGCGUGAAGGAUGAAGGCCUUCUGGGUUGUAAACUUCUUUUAUCUAGGAAGAAAAUACUCUUGCGAGAGGAACUGACGGUACUAGAUGAAUAAGCACCGGCUAACUCCGUGCCAGCAGCCGCGGUAAUACGGAGGGUGCAAGCGUUGUCCGGAUUUAUUGGGUUUAAAGGGUGCGUAGGCGGCUUGAUAAGUCCGUGGUGAAAGCCAACAGCUCAACUGUUGAACUGCCAUGGAUACUGUCAGGCUUGAGUACAGACGAGGUAGGCGGAAUGGAUCGUGUAGCGGUGAAAUGCAUAGAUACGAUCCAGAACUCCGAUUGCGAAGGCAGCUUACUAGGCUGUAACUGACGCUGAGGCACGAAAGCGUGGGGAGCGAACAGGAUUAGAUACCCUCGUAGUCC